CUCUUCUUCUUCCUCCUCAUCGUCCUCUUCAGCAACGUCGUCUAUAAAAUCUGAUCUCCGCCUCUUCCUGCUGGACCCUCCCCUAUCUUCUUCCUCUUCUUCUUCGUCAUCCAUCAACUGCUGCUCCUGGUCAUCGUACUCCUCAUCUUCUACAUCGAGCUCCUCAUAGUCUUCGUCCCUAUGACGAGGCAUAGCUUCGUUUCCUGUAACAAAAUUCCGAUAUCUCUAUAUCGCUGAAUCAAGCGUGAGCUUUAUAUUGGUGAGUGUCUUGUAGAAAUGUGAAUCAAGGGUCUGGUCGGAUUUGGGGGUUUUAUCGGCUAUAUGAAAUCCUACAUGUAUUUUAUAACCCUAAUCC
rnacentral:misc_RNA from 1 species